rnacentral:rRNA from 1 species
AACGAACGCUGGCGGCAUGCCUAACACAUGCAAGUCGAACGAGACCUUCGGGUCUAGUGGCGCACGGGUGCGUAACGCGUGGGAACCUGCCCUUAGGUUCGGAAUAACUCCCCGAAAGGGGUGCUAAUACCGGAUAAUGUCUUCGGACCAAAGAUUUAUCGCCUUUGGAUGGGCCCGCGUUGGAUUAGCUAGUUGGUAGGGUAAAAGCCUACCAAGGCGACGAUCCAUAGCUGGUCUGAGAGGAUGAUCAGCCACACUGGGACUGGGACACGGCCCAGACGCGAAGGGGAGGGAGGGGAGGGGAAAAUGGGAACAGGGGAGAAAGCCAGAACCACAAAGGGCGGGAGGGUGGAGAAGGGGUUGGGGUUGGAAAGCGCUUGUGACGGGGAGUAAAAGAAGGGAACGGGGAAAAAAAGCCCGGGUAAACACGGG